rnacentral:rRNA from 1 species
GUAGGUGGCAAGCGUUGUCCGGAAUUAUUGGGCGUAAAGCGCGCGCAGGCGGUUCUUUAAGUCUGAUGUGAAAGCCCACGGCUCAACCGUGGAGGGUCAUUGGAAACUGGAGAACUUGAGUACAGAAGAGGAAAGCGGAAUUCCACGUGUAGCGGUGAAAUGCGUAGAGAUGUGGAGGAACACCAGUGGCGAAGGCGGCUUUCUGGUCUGUAACUGACGCUGAGGCGCGAAAGCGUGGGGAGCAAACAGGGGGUUAGAUACCCUGGUAGUCCACGCCGUAAACGAUGAGUGCUAAGUGUUAGGGGGGUUUCCCGCCCCUUAGUGCUGCAGCUAACGCAUUAAGCACUCCGCCUGGGGAUACGGCCGCAAGGCUG